rnacentral:rRNA from 1 species
UGAAGGCCGUGAGGUUGUAAAGUUCUUUUCGGGAGGAGGAAUAAUGUUUGCAGGAAAUGGCAAGCAGAUGACGUGAAUCCCGGAAUAAGCCCCGGCUAACUACGUGCCAGCAGCCGCGGUAACACGUAGGGGGCAAGCGUUGUUCGGAAUCAUUGGGCGUAAAGGGCGUGCAGGCGGUGUUGCAAGUCUGGCGUGAAAGAUCUCGGCUUAACCGAGGGAACGCGCUGGAAACUGUAAUACUAGAGUACAGGAGGGGACAUUGGAAUUCCAGGUGUAGGGGUGAAAUCUGUAGAUAUCUGGAAGAACACCGGUGGCGAAGGCGAAUGUCUGGCCAUGUACUGACGCUGAGACGCGAAGGUGCGGGGAGCAAACAGGUUUAGAUACCCUGGUAGUCCGCACAGUAAACGAUGUACGCUAGGUGGUGGGUAAUUAUAUUCGCUACCGAAGCUAACGCAUUAAGUGUACCGCCUGGGGAGUAUGCUCGCAAGGGUGAAACUCAAAGGAAUUGACGGGGGCCCGCACAAGCGGUGGAGCAUGUGGUUUAAUUCGAUGAUACGCGAGAAACCUUACCAGGGCUUGACAUAUAUUGGACGAAGCUAGAGAUAGUUUUUCCCUUCGGGGUCGAUAUACAGGUGCUGCAUGGCUGUCGUCAGCUCGUGCUGUGAAGUGUUGGGUUAAGUCCCGCAACGAGCGCAACCCU